rnacentral:rRNA from 1 species
CCGAUCCCCCUCAAAAUCAAGGUGUUUCUUUGGCAAAUGUUCCGCGACCGUCUCCCGUCGUCCAACAAAGUUGCCAAGAGAAAGGGACCUUCGGAUGGUAGUUGUGCGGUUUGUGGGGCUCAUGAGGAUGCCAACCACAUCUUUUUCAACUGCCACCUCGCCCGGUUUGCUUGGAAUGCGGCCCGGGAAGCCUUUGGGCAGAACUGGAACCCCCAUGCCGGUGGGGAGCUGUGCACCAUUCUCAGUGUCCAUAGGAGUGGUUUUGCUUGGGUCCUUUGGUGUUGUGUAGGGGCAUUCUUGUGGUCUCUUUGA